AAGUCUGACGGAGCACGCCGCGUGAGUGAUGAAGGUUUUCGGAUCGUAAAGCUCUGUUGUUAGGGAAGAACAAGUGCCGUUCAAAUAGGGCGGCACCUUGACGGUACCUAACCAGAAAGCCACGGCUAACUACGUGCCAGCAGCCGCGGUAAUACGUAGGUGGCAAGCGUUGUCCGGAAUUAUUGGGCGUAAAGGGCUCGCAGGCGGUUUCUUAAGUCUGAUGUGAAAGCCCCCGGCUCAACCGGGGAGGGUCAUUGGAAACUGGGGAACUUGAGUGCAGAAGAGGAGAGUGGAAUUCCACGUGUAGCGGUGAAAUGCGUAGAGAUGUGGAGGAACACCAGUGGCGAAGGCGACUCUCUGGUCUGUAACUGACGCUGAGGAGCGAAAGCGUGGGGAGCGAACAGGAUUAGAUACCCUGGUAGUCCACGCCGUAAACGAUGAGUGCUAAGUGUUAGGGGGUUUCCGCCCCUUAGUGCUGCAGCUAACGCAUUAAGCACUCCGCCUGGGGAGUACGGUCGCAAGACUGAAACUCAAAGGAAUUGACGGGGGCCCGCACAAGCGGUGGAGCAUGUGGUUUAAUUCGAAGCAACGCGAAGAACCUUACCAGGUCUUGACAUCCUCUGACAAUCCUAGAGAUAGGACGUCCCCUUCGGGGGCAGAGUGACAGGUGGUGCAUGGGUUGUCGUCAGCUCGUGUCGUGAGAUGUUGGGUUAAGUCCCGCAACGAGCGCAACCCUUGAUCUUAGUUGCCAGCAUUCAGUUGGGCACUCUAAGGUGACUGCCGGUGACAACCGGAGAAGGUGGGGAUGACGUCAAUCAUCA
rnacentral:rRNA from 2 species